GAGUAACACGUGGGUAACCUACCUAUAAGACUGGGAUAACUCCGGGAAACCGGGGCUAAUACCGGAUAAUAUUUUGAACCGCAUGGUUCAAUAGUGAAAGACGGUUUCGGCUGUCACUUAUAGAUGGACCCGCGCCGUAUUAGCUAGUUGGUAAGGUAAUGGCUUACCAAGGCGACGAUACGUAGCCGACCUGAGAGGGUGAUCGGCCACACUGGAACUGAGACACGGUCCAGACUCCUACGGGAGGCAGCAGUAGGGAAUCUUCCGCAAUGGGCGAAAGCCUGACGGAGCAACGCCGCGUGAGUGAUGAAGGUCUUCGGAUCGUAAAACUCUGUUGUUAGGGAAGAACAAAUUUGUUAGUAACUGAACAAGUCUUGACGGUACCUAACCAGAAAGCCACGGCUAACUACGUGCCAGCAGCCGCGGUAAUACGUAGGUGGCAAGCGUUAUCCGGAAUUAUUGGGCGUAAAGCGCGCGUAGGCGGUUUCUUAAGU
rnacentral:rRNA from 1 species